GGGAAAGUCAGUUUUUAAGGAAUCUCUGUAUGCUGAAAGCAGGGGCUCACAGGACCCUGAAGAUUUAGCAACUGUCAAGAUAAGGUUGCUCUUAGUUUUUAAGGAAGCGUAAACACGAAGGCGUCAGGGUGGCCAUAAACGUCUUGGGGAACGUUCCGCGCUGCAGGUCUCUGACAUCUCUCAAUGGGCUGCAGGCCGUAAGGGAAUUUAAUUCAAACUACAUUUUUCUUGCCUUUGUAUCCCUCAUCAAAGGGGACGAUUGGGAAGCACCGAGAACACCAGCUGGCGCCUUGCCGUCCUCGGUGACUGGCCACUCCUCCCCUUUCUGCCCUCUCGUGAGACACCAGCCUCGGCGUCUUGCUCUUUGAAUGAUCAAGCGGUUGAGCUGUCUCUAGGGUCCGCUUCUGCCCCUCUGCUUUGGAAGUCUGUCGUCCUGAGACGCGAGCACAUCGUCCAGGAGGGGCUCUGUCUGUUCCCAGUGAGGAUAAUCACACCGAACUCUCAAGGUUAUUGAAAUGAACCAAGAUACCGUAGGGGGAGACACCUCAUUCAGUUCCUGGCGGGUGGCAGAGGAUAAACAUUCCUGUACUGUGGCUCCAGGUGGGGCUGAGUUGGGACGAUAUCAGUCAACAGAGAUUCCCUGAGCACCUACUAUGUGCCAGGCACUAGGGACAGCACAGUGGGAAAGACUGGCGUGAUCCCCCUCUCGGGGAACGUGGAGUCUCAGGGGAGAAGGCAAACAUUAACCAGAUUGCGAAAGCUCCCGUCUGUGGUCUUGGGUCCAUGGUCACCCGAUGGGCCUCCCACUCCUGCUGCUGCACAGAAGACGUCCUCGGGAGGGGCGCCCUCGGGUCCCGCGGAGUCAUCCCUUCCGGGAGAGGUGCUCGGGCGAGAGAGCACUGCGGUUCCUGCCCUAAGUCCCUGGCACCUUAUCAAAUGCCAGCUCAGCUUCCAGCUAUGCACUCCCUCCCGGCCAUCUCCUGUUUUGGUGUCCUCUGGGCUGCCCCUCCGGGUGUCCAUGAGUCACAGAGCCGCUCCAGAAACUCCUGGUCCCGCUCCGGGCUGAGAAGAGAGUUCCGUUCACAACAAACAAAUUCCGGGGAAGCGGGAGCCCCAGCGGUUGACAACGCAUACAAAUGAUUGCAGAGCACUCCCCUCGGACUUCUGUUGGAACUUCUAGCACACUGAAUUUGCUUUCGCAGUUCGACGUCCCUGCUGGAGUGUGAGCCCAUUGUGACCCUCACCGCCGGUCGUGCCUUUCACACGUAAGGGUGAAUUUGUCCCGGACCAAUUCGCUGAACGAGGUUCUCCGUGGGACCUGGCGGUGGCCCUGUGGGACAGAGCACCCUCCCUGGAGGGGCACCAAGGCUGUAUGGACCCCCCUCGGCCCCCUUAUCGUGGGUCAUCUCCCUGAGGUACCACAGAUAAGUCCCGAAGAUCCCCCUUUCCCAAAGAGCCUUUUCCCGGAACGCUAAUGUUUUGUUUUGUUUUGUUUGUUUUUUUGUUUUUUUGAGGAAAAAAGUUCUGUGGCGAAAUAAACUGAGAAAGUGG